AAUGUCAUGGACAUCGUCACAUUUCGAAAGGAGCAAAGUUCAAGCGCCAAAGUAUCUUAUCUCAAAAUAGUUUUCCAAAUGACUCAUGGAAGAUGCCUGCAGAGGAAAGUUUUGCGGCUCAUUUAAAAAUAGAUCGACCUCUACCGCAGCCCAGCCAGCUGUUACCACUCUCAUCACGGACUUUAUUUCAGUUCACCCACUUCCGACAAUGGGUUUCAUUCGGGAUACAGCACACACAUGCGCCGGUGCAAUGGGCCACUGACUGCGGUGACUAGAUCAUGCAAUUCUCCUGCUCUACAAAGGCUGAUAAGAAACACAAUAAGAGUGAAAGAGAAAUGGCCUUAUCAAUAACAACAAAAAACCGAACAAUGCAUUUCAGACUUUAAUCACAAAAGCAUAUAGCAAGACUGUAAAUUGGCAAGUUUUGAGGAUACGAAAAUGUAAAUUCUUUUAGAUAAUUUAUAAUAUACAUAUAUAUUUAUGUAUAUAUAUUAUAAUCGCACUGCCUUUUCGGAUUUUUUGCCCGCUAACGUUCAAAACAAAGAUUCUUUGAGUGAAGUAAUCCAGCGUAAAGCGUAAAUAAACAAAGUUCGCGCUUAUGAUGUAAGUUUUGCUUACUACAGCAUUACCCCUUGUGUGCAAACAAACUGGUGGUGGCAUUCAUCGCCCUAUCCCAUAGCUCCCGUUCCCGUAUCAUAACACCGCUAAAAAUAAACAAAUCGUGACAAAUUGCUGUAAGUGCAGCCGACGCUAUCUGCCCCCCAGAAGACAAUGGCAUCCACUAUCGGUACUAUCCAUCGGUUUCCCCGCCCUCUCCACCUGCCAAUCGGAUUGGAGUAUGACUGAGUCACAUCAUUUCCAUGAGCCGCAACCUCUCGACGACCUACAUCCCAGUUGGCACCGCAAGUUACACAUUCAACGCCGGGCACCAAAGUUAGCACUUCCAAAGGCAGUCGUGUGCUUAUAUUGGCCAGUGGUCGUCAAAUUCAAUUAUGAUGUCACUGUCGCCAAGUCAAUGAACGUCUUCCGACACCUUAAACAGACAACAUACAUCAACAAAUACAGCGGCUAGUCAUCCCCGACCGCUGCCUCCAUAUGGCAAACGGCGUCGUGAUUUGUACAAAAUACAGCGGAAGGAAAAAACGAGCGAAAAUAAGCCGGCCAUAACUGUAGACGCCAGGGGACAGAACCAAUCGGGCGUCAAGAAAUUGGAACACCAAAGAGCCGUUCAUGCCAUCUCAUCUCCUCCAGCGCGCCACAUCCCACUCCAGAUGUGCCCACUGCUCGGCGAUAAGGCAGCAGUGUCGAGUAUCGGAUUCGAAUCAUAAAAACGUAAACGACAAAAGCGAAACGCACGGCAAACAAACAAUACAAUAGAAACUGGUGUGAGAUAAAGCCCGAGCCAGUAUGAAAGAAAACGCAACAACAACAAUAGUAAUAAUAAUAAAUGGAAAUUAAAAAUUGAUUGCUUCUUUGGCCGGCGCUUCUUGGCAUCCGCCUCGGUACAGUGGUUGUGCAUUGAUUGAAAAGCGAAGGCUCGGUUUUGCUUGGUAGCUUUAUGGCAAUUGUGGCAUUCUGGGAAGGGCCUAUCUAUCGUCUGCUUUUAUUCUGGGAAUGCUUUCUCACGUUGUUUACUUUUCAACGAAUCGCACACAAGAAAUCAAACCACAGUGCACUCUGGUUAAGAGGGAUACAGUUCACCAAUACCGCCAAAGACCGACAGUCGUUGUUAUUGUUCGUUAAUCAGAGACAACCUCGCGAUUGGAUUUCGUUGGGCAAAAGCGAAUCACUUGACCAGCUGAGUUUGGCCAAAACGGAAAUCCAACAUUAUUCACUCUCUCUAUCUGGCCUGUUCACCGAUUCACCCACCGAGUAUACACGUAACGCCGAAUCCCCGCUAGAUUUAUGAUCACCACUCACCUCAUGGCUGC